ACUAGAUGCAAAUCAGAGGUAACUGAGAGUUCAAGUAAAUUUAAUGUAUUAACAAUUUGUUUACUUCGUUUGGUAAUUCAUCAGUAGAUCGCACUAGGAUGGCAUCCACUUGAAUUUUCUACUGUCAUGGAUUGCAAUAGGAAAUUCAAUCAUGUAUUUCACCUGAACAAAGGAAGGAGUGAAAUCGACCAACUACCAAAGAUUUAAAGAUCAUUUAAAAUAUGGUAUAUAAAAAAAAAUCACAAUAAAUACUGAAAUCCGAGGAAAAUUCAAAACGGAAAGUCUCUAAUCAAAUGACAAAACCAAACGCUCAAAAACAUCAAACAAAUGGAUAACAACUGCCAUAUUCCUGACUUGGUACAGACAUCUUCUUAUGUAGAAAAUGGCGGAUUGAACCUAGUUUAAUAGCUAGCUAAAUAUCUCACUUGUAUGACAGUCGCAUCAAAUUCCAUUAUAUUGAGAACGAUGCGUGAACAAAACAAUCAGGUGAAAAUGUCAAAAAUAGGGGUACAGCAGUCAUUAUUGUGUUAUAAUCUUAAUCACAAAAAAAUAUGUAACAAAGAUAUAGACCAAUCAUAUUAGAAAAAUCAAAGACAAGAAUACACAAGUUUACAAUACCACAAAAAAAUUACACAAUUACGGGAUGUAUGAAUACAGAGCCACGUAUUUAUGUAGCUUCUGUCGUAAUCACGCGGCUUUUGGUAAACAAAGCGAUAUUUCUGUUGCGUUUGCAACCAGAAAUUAUCCUUUAACUUGCAAUAGACGAAACACAAAUGAAGUUCUAAUCUUUUAAUCAUAAAACCUAUUUUAGGAAAAAAUAUUUUACAAAUACAAUACGUUAGCUAACAAAGUUAUGCGAAUUACACACUUUCCUAAAUGUAUAUCCGGAAUUAUUUUUUCUGAAUAUACACAUAUUAAGCUAGUUGACGUUAAACAAUGUUUAUUAGUAUUAAUAAAUAUACAACAAUUCUUGAUGUAAAAAAAAUAGUGCAUCACUAAGUAAUUCAAAAUAACAGUUACAUGUAGGUAUAAAAAAAUAUGCACAAAAAUAUAUCGGUGAACACAAUGAUUCAGACAUACUAACACAACUCAUUAUAGUCUAGAUAUAGACUGCCAAAUAAAAUAUGGUUACACACCAAGAAAAAUUGAUUUUCAUUAUAGAUCACGCCUUACAGAGACUUCUGGUGGAAAUUUCCUAAUGAUAUAUGACAUAAAAGCCUACUUUUGAUUGAAAGGCGUCUGCCUGCAGAGGAUGAUUUCUGUGAUAUUUCAAAUGUUUUAUUAUGAAGAUUUUGCAAGUACUGUAAACCAACUUAUUUUCGUGAGCGAUUUAUUUUCGCGACUUUCGCGAGGAGAAAAAUAACGCGAACAUAAAUCGUCGCGAAUAAGUAAAUCUUUAUUAAUCUACAUCAAGUAAAUAAGAAAACCGUGAAUCUUAAAAGCCGCGAAUUGGACUAGAAUUGGUAUAACACGAAAUGGACUAGAUUUGAUAUAACGCGAAAUACAGUAUCCGCGAAAAUAAGUUGGUUUACAGUAUUGUAAACUUAUAUUAACAAAAGUUCUUUCAUUUGUUUCUUAACAAGAGGUUAAUUUUAUAACUGAAAAUGUGUAUAUACAAACACAAAUAAUGGCAAUAGUAUAAUAAAACAUUUUUGCUUAUAAACUUAAUGUAAUAGACUUGUUUCUGAUUUUGCAAAAGCUGGAAGUAUUUAUAGAAUGAAAUUCAAAACAGUGUAGCUGUGGCCAUUGAUUGACACAUUAAAAUCAUCCAUUGACUGGGACAAUUUAGGUGAACGUUUGUAUGUAACGACCAAUGCUCACUAUGUACUUUUUAAAGACACUUAAACUA
rnacentral:lncRNA from 1 species